CUGGUUUGUUUGAUUGCUUCAGUAAUCAGUUAAUAAAUAAUGGUCAAAUUAAUGGUGUAUAACACAUGUAUCGAAUACUCGUAUCAAGUGUAUUUUUUCCAUUGCAAUACCCACCGUGUAAAACGCCACAUGUGAGAUGUCAGAUAUGUUUGAAACGGGACGGCUGUUUUGAAGCGUAGAAAUACGAUCAAGGUUAGUUUUUUUU
rnacentral:lncRNA from 1 species